AUGCCUGGGUCAGAAACUCGUUAUUUGAUUCAGAGUUAUAAAGCUGUAUGUUCCAAAUCUAUAUGUGGGGCUAUUCAUGGGUUUUUGGCUAUUAAGCAACUGGGUUGUUUUAUUGGAGACAAAAAACAUGAAAAGUAUAAAAACCCUAGAGAUUCAUCUGAUAUUCGGGUUGAGGAUCUUAUUAGCAGGGUGACUCUUGUGGAGAAAAUUGGUCAAAUGUUACAGGGAUGA